GUCCUUAUAAAUCCUGUUAGUCCUUAUAAUACUGUUUUGUGCAUCUAAUUAGCUAUCAAAUGUCCUCAUAAUUGAGUAAGUCCUCAUAAGUUGUGUUGUGUGUAAACAAACUCUGAAGUGAAAUCUGUGCUGUGUGGCUCAAAAUAGAUUUUUUUUUUUUGAUAUACACACAUCUCUUGUAGAGCAAGUGGAAAGGGGAGUCCCCCUAAUGCAGCAAAAAAACCGGUUUAGGGUGCAGUGUCCUUGUAGUGCACAAAAACCCGUGCGUGUGUGUGUGUGUAUGUGUGUGUGUAUGUGUGUGUGUGUGUGCAUGUAUGUGUGUUCUGCGCUUCGCUCGGAUGGAGGAGAAGAAGAAGUGUGUGAACGCGCGUUUUCUCUCCGUCGAUGGGGAUCUGGGUUUUUCUGAUGCUCGCGGCGCGCGCAGAAGCGUUCGGGAUUAAUAAUAAUAAUAAUAAUAAUAAUAAUAAUAAUAAUAAUAAUAAUAAUAAUAGUCGUGUGUUCGGUUAGUAGACUGUUUAUCCGCAAAACAACUUUUUGUUUCCGUUCCGCUGUCUGUCGUUUUCGUGCUGCGUUCAUAUCCGCCGUGUUACUUUCGCGCGCGCACUAUGCUGCUCGGCGCUCCGGCGCUCACGUGGCUUCUUUCCGGCGCAUUCGGACCCAACCGGAGGAGGCGCGCGGCCGCUCGGUCAGUCCGUGUGCGCGCUUUUUGGUCCCCUUAGAACAGAUUUUUCUCUCUCUCUCUCUCUUUUCUUUUCUUCUUCUUUUUCUUCUGCAAGCAUUUUUUUUAUUCUAUUUAUUUUAUUUAUUUAUUUUUAUUUUUGGAUGAAGGACCGACUUGAGCCUUGAGACUUACGACUUAAGACUUGAGACGCGCGCGUGCCUGCGCGUCUUCAUCGGGUCUGCACCGAGAGGAGACUCGUCGGAGAAUCUCUCGAGAAACCGGAGGGGACACAAAGUGCACGAGACUGGAGGCGAGACGCAGAUAUGGGUCUGUCGAGUUGUGCCAAGAGAUUAGCAUGCCUCCUCUCUCUCCUUGCCUCCUUCUUCCAUCUUCUCUGCUCCGGGGAGAAAACAUGUCCUUACAGCUGCCGUUGUGAGAGUAAAAUCGUCCAUUGUGACUCAGCAUCUUUCAUCGAUGUCCCAGAAAACAUUUCAGUAACUUGCCAGGGUUUGUCUCUGCGAAACAAUGACUUGCACACAAUGCUCCCUUACCAGUUUGCCCACCUGAACCAGCUCCUCUGGCUGUACCUGGACCACAAUCAGAUCUCGUUUGUAGACAGCCGUGCUUUCCAGGGCAUACGACGGCUAAAGGAGUUGGUCUUAAGCACCAACAGGAUCUCACAACUACACAAUGCUACGUUCCACGGCGUGCCAAAUCUGCGUAGCCUGGACCUGUCCUAUAACAAACUCCAGGAAUUGCAGCCAGGUCAGUUCCAUGGUCUUCGAAAGCUACAAAAUCUGCAUCUACGCUCCAACGGGCUCACAACAAUUCCUGUUCGGGCUUUCAUAGAGUGCAGAAGCCUGGAGUUUCUGGAUCUGGGGUACAAUCGACUUCGUGUCCUCACGCGUACUACGUUCUUGGGUUUAUCUCGGCUGAUGGAACUGCACCUGGAGCACAAUCAGUUCUCCAGGAUCAACUUCUUUCUUUUUCCACGCCUUGCAAACCUCCGUGGGCUGUAUCUCCAGUGGAAUCGUAUCCGGGCAGUUAACCAAGGCUUCCCCUGGAUGUGGUAUACCCUGCAGAAGCUGGACCUGUCUGGCAAUGAGAUCCAGAGUCUGGAUCCUGUGGUUUUCCAAUGCUUGCCAAAUCUUCAGGUUCUUAACUUGGAGUCUAACAAGCUUGCUAAUGUGUCCCAUGAGACGGUGGCAGCCUGGAUUUCCCUCUCAACAAUCAGCCUCGCUGGGAAUGUCUGGGACUGUGGGCCGGGCAUUUGUCCUCUCGUCGCAUGGUUAAAGAAUUUUCGUGGAACUAAAGACACAAGUAUCAUUUGCAGUAACCCUAAACAUCUUCAAGGGGAAAAGGUUAUGGAGGCAACAAAAAAUUAUAUCGAUUGUGAUGAUUUUGAACUCAUUGCCCAAACACCGUUUCCGCACCACACUUGGGAGUCAAGUAUGGAAACUACCCCUGAGCCAAUCUUGCCUUUGACAACUGCCGAACUACCCCUGCCUCCAGCCACCUCUGAACCACCCAUCCCACCAUUGUUGGCUCAACCUCUUCCUUAUCCUACUGUCCCUGAAACCAACCCCAGAGACACCCCUCCGAAUACGCCACCACCCUCCAACAGCCUGCUAGUGACACCGUCUCCAGAACAAGAGGACUUAUCCUUCCAUAAGAUUGUGGUUGGUGGUGUGGCACUUUUCUUUACAACAUCACUCAUCUUGAUGGUGAUAUACGUCUCCUGUAGACGGUAUCCUGGAGCCACACGGCUGUUGCAACAGCGCUCCGUGGUCGGACGGAAGCGACGGAAAAAGAGUCCCGAGCCAGAACAGAACCUGAGCUCCCAACUGCAGGAAUAUUACAUGAGCUACAACCCUGCUGCUACGCCAGAAGCCAUGGAUGUACUGGCCAAUGGGACUGGUACUUGCACAUGUACCAUAUCCGGCUCCAGGGAAUGUGAGGUAUGACAAUGUCAAGGGCAGCCUAAAAUCAAAACAAAUCAAAGCAAAUGAAACGGCUCUGGACAGCAGAGAAUGAAUACGUGUGUCCCAGACCGCUGCCUCGAGCCUGGAUCGGAGACAUUCCCACAAUUCACUAGCCGGACUCCUAUGUCCACUUUAUCAACUGCAACAGGGUUCCUGUAAAGAAUUUCCAUCGCAUCGCGUCACACUUCGGCCAUUUCCUUUCGUUCGGAUCGUAGGAGUGUAUCAGAGGAGGCGAGCGAGCUAAUUAUCGUUUCCCAGAAUCCCUUGCUGUGAAAGCAUUUUGUAUUAUAAUGCUCGAGACAGAUUUUUUUUUGCAAAUAAAACGAACAAACAAAAACACGGUUUCUUUUAAUCGCCUGCCAUUUUGUAGGAGCUUCUCCACUACGGCUUUGUGAAAUGGACUCGUGAAGGACAGUGUGGACGUGGACGUGGACCUGGACGUGGACGUGGAAGGCUUCGGUGGUGCCUUUUGUGCAUUUCGUUCUCGUCCAUCUUUAUCCGGCAGGAAUAAACAAUUUGGUAUCUAAUGCUAAACUAACGAGCAACGAGCGAGUCAGGAAUCCUUUAUCUUCUUCAUCUUCAUCAUCCGAGUAAAAAGAAGGGAUUUUAUUCACGUCGUUUUUUCCAACUCGGACCUUAUUCCAUGCUAUUUAACAACCUUGUGUAUGAGAACGAUGACGACCUUGUGGUGACCCUCGUCUCAGAUUUCUCGUCGGUUGAACAUGCAGUCCUGUUUACAACCUCAGCAUGAAAACAGAGGGUCUCGAACACUUCACACUGACUGCAAACCAACAUGUGUGUGUGUGUGUGUGUGUGUGUGUGUGUGUGUGUACAUACUUACUUAUGGGACAAAGACGUGUGCAUGACAUUCGGAUGUCAACAUCGUUGUACGAACUUUAAUGUUGGUUUCUUGGCUUCUUUACACGGUAUAACAUUUCACCCUGCGUUCACAUUAGCAAGCGACAAAGCGACAUCAUUUCCUUUAAAGUUUAUUCUAAAAUUCAUUCAUUCAUUAAAGUAUUUACUACUAUUAAAUUCAUGCAAAUUAAAUACCUCGUGAAUACCCCAGGCCUGAGUUUAGGUUUUCAACAAAAGAGCAGUGGAAGACAAAUUUAAAGGGAUAGUUCACCCAAAAAAUGAAGGUUCUGUCGUCAGUUACUCGCCCUCGCACGUCUAUGCAGAAGUGAAGAUACUUUGCGAAUAAAGGUAUUUUAAUUUUAAUUUUAGUUGGGGUUUUUUUUUUUUUUUUACACACGAAACAUUCGUAUCGCUUCAGAAAACUGGGAUUAAACCACCGGGGUCACGUGGAUUCCUUCUACGAUGCCUUUAUGAACUUUUUGGAGCUUGAAAGUUUUACAUUGAUUGUAAACAGAGGGACAGAAAACUCCCAGGUUUCAUUAAAAAAUGUGUUCGUUUGUGUUUUCCGACGAUGAACGAAAGUCUCACGGGUUUGGAACGACAUGAGGCGGAGUAACUGACGAUUUUUGGGGUGAACUAUCCCUUUAAAUAUAAUGAAUCUGUUUUAAACAAUUAAAUCAAACUGUUAAAAUAUAUUUUAAACACAUAAGUAACAGGGUUAUCAGGGUUGUCGUAAUACAUUACAAUCAUUUUGGCUUUGAUAUCAAAACUAUAAUAGGAAAAACAUUUUUAGUAUUUUUUAGUGUUUUUUUUUUUUUUCCUUAACAAAAAAUAAAUAUAUUUGGUAUCAUUUUAGUCAAAAUUUUCUACUAUUGCAACGUUACAAUGUGACAAAAUUGUUUGUAGGUUGUUUUUUUUUUCUCUCACAUAACAACAAAACUACUGUAGGAUUUUUUUUUUUUUUUUUCCUUUUUUGUUUUGUUGCAAAAACCUUCAGUGGUACUUUUUGUUGUUGUGUUUUUUAAAUAUAGUUUUAAACAACACCUGAUACCAAAACUAAACUAGGAAAUGUUUUAUAUGAAAAUAAAAGAAUUUAAAAGAAUAAUAAGAUAAAAAUGUAUGAUGUAGGUUUUUUUUUUGUCACAUGACACCAAAACUACACUAGGAUUUUUAUUAUUAUUAUUAUUUAUUUUUUUUUGUAUUCUUGUUUUUCCUUUUUUUUUUUUCUUUUUUUUUUUUAUUGUUGCUGCAAAAACUUUCAGUACGAUUUUUUUUUUUUCCUUUUUGGCCACAUUUUUAAUAUACACAAUUAACAAUAUACGAUACCAAAAAUAAACUAGGAAAAAUUUAUAUUAAAAAUAAAAUAAAAUAAAAAGUAUUGUUUAGUUUUUUUUACCUAGUGUUCACACUGAAGUAAUAUUCAAACAAAUUAAUGAAUGAAGUAAUUUAUUAAAUAAAAUCUAUCAUUUGGGGGCGGGGUGUUUGUUUUUGAUUGAUUGAUUGAUUUAUUUUGUUUGUUUAUGCUGAUCUUUUUCUCGGACCUUACACUCACAUAUACCACAUGUUCUCCUGUAACGAGCUAAACGGCUCUUUCUCGGCUCUCUUCGCCACCGGCUCUCUUUCAGUAGCAUCGAUUCAGGAUUUUACUUUCUGUCUCUGUUUCUUUGUCCGUCUUCUUUGAGUCGAAUCCGUUUUUAGUUGAAUGCAACGUCACUCAUCUUUUAUAUAUAAAAUAAUAAAAUAUCAGCCUUAGAGUUAGUCUGUUUCAAUAAAGACGUAACGGUGUUUUUUUUGUUUUGUUUUGUUGUUUUUUUUAAAGUUACACUAUUGAGAGUUUUGCCACAUUUGUGAUAGUAGCUCAAAUGAUGAAUUCUAAAAUAAAUAAAUGAUAGAUUGUAAAUGACACUGUUUACAUUUUGGCUUCAUUUAUAAUCAGAGCUUAAGACUGUAAGACUGAGCAGGAGAUUUAUUUACUACUGUGCACAUGAGUGAUGACGGCAGUGUGUCAACCUUGUCGCUUGCUUGUAGGAACUCAGGGUCGUGUGUGUGUGUGUGUGUGUGUGUGUGUGUGGAAGUGUGUGUGAAUGUCUUUUGCUUACGCUGCCAUUUUUUUACCCUCGACUCAACCUUCGCUUGUCCUUUUCCAAGUCUGUCCUUUGUCAUUUCUGUCCACGCUUGACUCCUGGUCAUUCCUUUUUGAAAUGAACUCUGAAGUUUUUUUGCCGCCAACAUGUUUCUGUUUUCUAAUGACAACGCUGUCGGAAUCAACGGUGGGAAAUAUACACUGCUCAAAAUGGAAACUGAGUAUCGAUGAGUCAUAAUGAAUUGCUACCAACAGAGUUUUAGAGAAAAGAGGGGGAAACAGUAAAGGAGGGUGGAAGUAAAUGAGUAAAAUGGAUCUUUUCUUCCCACAAAGGACUGAAAGAUCUGAUGUUAUUGGUUUAAAAAAAAAAAACCCUAAAAAGAUUCAAUUAAAAGUCGUGAAGGUCCAGUUACGUAAAAUUUCCCUGCAUCCGACACGAAUAAAUAACAACAAGCUUUUAAUUCUACACUAUUAAUGCUUCACUCAUUGCUAUAAAUUCCACGCAUUAUUUUCACUUCACAACUUUUUUUAUUUUAUUUUAUUUUCUACUAGCGCUGUGUUUUCAAACUGAAGCUGAGAAUAAACACUUACGAAACACGUCCAGUCGUCUUUAAACGCGCUUGUUUAUUUUUUGGGGGAAAGCCCUGUUGUCACGGCACUAAUCGCAGCUAGAGAAGGUAAAUAAAUCUAAGAACGUCUGUGAAAACACUUUGCAUUCUCGAGGGGAUGCCUUCAGCUAAAUAACUGACGUAAAUGCGUGUGAUUGGUCGGGACAGAGGAUCUGCUCCAGAAAAACAGGAAGCAAACAGGAAGUCCGUCAUCUUUACACAAUUCUGAAACAUUUUCUUCUUAAACAUUUAGGGGUUUUUUUGAUUCCGUAGUAACAGCUCAUUCAAGUAGAACCCUUUCAGGAGCAUAAGAACACAUAGUCCUUUAAGUAGAACCCUUUUAGGGCCAUAAGAACUUUUAGUCCUCCAAGUGAAAGCCUUUUAGAACCAUAAUAACCCUUAGUCCUCAAAUUAGCACCCUUUUAGGAGCAUAAGAACACUUAGUUCAUCAAGUAGAACCCUUUUAGUGAUGUAAGAACAUUUAGUUCUCCUAAUAGAACCCUUUUAGGAGAAUAAGAACCCUGAGCACUCCGAGUAGAACCCUUUUAGGAGCAUAAUAACCCUUAGUCCUCAAAGUAGCCCUCUUUUAGGAGCAUAAGAACCCUUAGGCCUCCAUGUAGAACCCUUUUAGGAGCAUAAGAACCCUUAGUCCUCCAAGUAGAACCCUUUUAUGAGCAUACGACCACCUAGAUCUCCAAGUAGAACCCUUUUAUGCGCAUAAGAACCCUUAGUCCUCAAAGUAGAUCCCUUUUAGGGGCAUAAGAACCCUUUGUCCUACAAGUAGAACCCUUUUAUGAGCAUACGACCACCUAGAUCUCCAAGUAGAACCCUUUUAGGAGCAUAAGAACCCUUAGGCCUCCAAGUAGAACCCUUUUAGGAGCAUAAGAACCCUUAGGCCUCCAAGUAGAACCCUUUUAGGAGCAUAAGAACACUUAGAUCAUCAAGUAGAACCCUUUUAUGAGCAGACGAACACCUAGAUCUCCAAGUAGAAUCCUUUUAGGAGCAUAAGAAUCCUUAGGCCUCCAAGUAGAACCCUUUUAGGAGCAUAAUAACCCUUAGAUCAUCAAGUAGAACCCUUUUAUGAGCAGACGAACACCUAGAUCUCCAAGUAGAACCCUUUUAGGAGCAUAAGAACCCUUAGGCCUCCAAGUAGAACCCU